rnacentral:tRNA from 1 species
AGUCUUAAAAAUUAGAUUGCAAAUCUAAUAUUGAUGAACUAAGGCUU